GCUUCUAGGCGUUUACUCGGUUUUACAUAUAUAAAAAGCGAGAAGAAAAUUGCAAAUAAAGAAAAAGGCAAGAUUUGCAAUACAAAGGGACAAACUACCUUUAACCUAAACACAACUUUUACAAAGUUUUGACUUUUGAUGGAAUGAUUAAAUGGGUGUUAAACGUUGUUACUUUGUUAUAAUUCUAGAAAAUCUAAAUAUGGUGUUAGUGAAAAUAUUGAUAAUGAAAUGGUGAAAAUUUAAACUGUAUGGGAAAGAGAUAUUCUUAUAACCAAGAGGUUGUAGUGGGG
rnacentral:lncRNA from 1 species